rnacentral:snRNA from 1 species
AUCCCUUCUCGGCCUUUUGGCUAAGAUCAAGUGUAGUAUAUAUAUAUUAUAGUGUCUUGUUAAGUUAUUAAAUUGUCCAGGGUAAGCUCAAAGUUUUGAUCCUUUUUUUUUUUUUGGUACUGGGGAUCAAGCUCAGGACCUUGUGCUUGGGAGGCAGGCAUGGUGCCACUGAGCUAUAACCCUGGCUCAAAGUUUU